AGGAGGAGUUCGUGUAGACUGUGCAUCCUAAAUCAUAUGUCUCAAACAAGAUAUUGAAAAUCUCAUCCAGGAGGCCUAAAGAAGUCCACUGGUUCGUAUAGGGAUGGAAAAAAUGAUGCUUUUUCUCCUGACAUGGAAGUGUUACAGCUGAGUCACAAGUGUUCCUGCUCCUCCAGAACUGUGGCGGCUCUCUCUCAUUCUGACU